rnacentral:tRNA from 1 species
GGGAAGGUGGCUCAGUGGUAGAGUGCUUGCCUUGCAUGCAUGACGCCCUCCCU